rnacentral:tRNA from 1 species
GCGCCCGUAGCUCAACUGGAUAGAGUAUUUGGCUUCGGACCAAAGGGUUGCAGGUUCAAAUCCUGCCGGGCGCA